rnacentral:rRNA from 1 species
CAGGACGAACGCUGGCGGCGUGCCUAACACAUGCAAGUCGAGCGGGGACAUACGACGGAGUCAAAGUUUCGGAUGGAGACGAAGAUGUAUGUUCUAGCGGCGGACGGGUGAGUAACGCGUGAGCAACCUGUCCCUUACAGGGGGAUAACACAGCGAAAGUUGUACUAAUACCGCAUGAGACCACGGGAGGACAUCCUCCAGGGGUCAAAGGAGCAAUCCGGUAAGGGGUGGGCUCGCGUCCGAUUAGAUAGUUGGUGAGGUAACGGCCCACCAAGUCGACGAUCGGUAGCCGACCUGAGAGGGUGAUCGGCCACAUUGGGACUGAGACACGGCCCAAACUCCUACGGGAGGCAGCAGUGGGGAAUAUUGGGCAAAUGGGGGAAACCCUGACCCAGCAACGCCGCGUGAGGGAAGAAGGUUUUCGGAUCGUAAACCUCUGUCCUUGGUGAAGAGGAAGAGACGGUAGCCAAGGAGGAAGCCCCGGCUAACUACGUGCCAGCCGCCGC